rnacentral:misc_RNA from 1 species
UAUAUACAUAACUCAAACUAGACAAAAACAAGCAAUAACAGAAACCCCUCUUCGUAUCAGAAAGAGUUCAUUUCCAGCAAAUAAGCCUUACUCUUCACAAGGAGCGCUGCCAGUUCCUCAUAUACCCCUUCACCUCCGAAAGCACCCGUCGCCAGCUUAGCAUCUUCCACGUCAGCUGCCCAAGCUUCCCCACUCUGGACCCCACCAACUUCCUUCCCUACACAAGGCCAAACGACCACCAGAGUCGCACCUUCUACCCGACUCCCAUCAUUGAGCUGUACCCUCGGCUCGUGUCUCAUCCUCAUCCUCGCGCUCGGUACCACCGUCCUACUCGCCUCCCACUCUCUAUCACUAGCCGCCUUCUCCAUCCUACACUCCCGUAAACCCUCCUUAUCCAUCACCACUAUCCCUUCCGUUUCCUCAUCCUUCAAUUCCAAUCUCUCCAUUUCCUCGUGUUCUUUCACAACUUCUUUUAGCAAGUAGUGUCUUGCUGAUGCUGCGAUCAACGCACUGAUCGUCCACACCACUCUGGCCUUCAAACCUCCGGCGAAAUCAAAAUCCACGUCAGCAUUACCAUCCUCCGCAGCGGUGCGAAAACCGAGAAUCACGCAACUCUUCAACGUAUUCCCGAAUUCGGCUCUCCAUUUUAUAACGACGCCUUUAUCUAAUUUUAAGUCACCGGCGGGUAGCUGGAUUUGUAGGUCUCGAAUCCGGUGGAACUGAGAGAGGAUUUGAGCGGGAGAAUUAUGGGUAAGGGUGAGCGUUGCGGUGGGUUUGUGAUCGGACUUGAAAAGGUCCUGAAUGGAAUUGAGAAGAGACUUGAGGAAGGAGAAGAGUAGGGAUUCGGUGUCGGACUCAGGCGAAAUGACGCGGUCGACUCUGAGAAGGAGCGACUCGGUUUCGGGAACGAGCGAGUAGAAGCGUUUGGAAACGGAGCGGCAGCGGAUAAGAGUCUUGACAUCGGAGACGGAGUUGAAGAUGAGAAGGAUGAGAGAAUCCGGGAGGCGAUCGAAACCGUCCAUAUCGACUGCGAUGAAACGAAUUUUCUUUUCUGGUUGCUAGACUACCAGUGUCUGUUUAUGGAAAUGAGAUUGGAGAUGAGAGUUAGUUGGGGUUUUAGAUAUUUUAUUUAGGGAUAAGGAAGGGAAGCCUCGAAAGGAAAGGGUGUGGUUUUGACCGUUGACCUUUGAAGCGUGGAGCGUACACUCUAUUGUAAUCAGCUUCUAGAUUUUUCAUUUAAUGCCCUUCGUAGAAUUCCGUGUUGGGAUAGAAGAAGAUAUCUGUAAUUGAUUUUUCAACGGUUGAUAUUAGUUCUUUAAUGGCAUUG